GUGCCAGCAGCCGCGGUAAUACAGAGGGUGCAAGCGUUAAUCGGAGUUACUGGGCGUAAAGGGCGCGUAGGCGGUUAGAUAAGUGAGAUGUGAAAGCCCUGGGCUUAACCUAGGAAUUGCAUCUUAUACUGUUUGACUAGAGUACUGUAGAGGGUAGUGGAAUUUCCGGUGUAGCGGUGAAAUGCGUAGAGAUCGGAAGGAACACCAGUGGCGAAGGCGGCUACCUGGACAGAUACUGACGCUGAGGCGCGAGAGCGUGGGGAGCAAACAGGAUUAGAAACCCUGGUAGUCC
rnacentral:rRNA from 1 species